rnacentral:lncRNA from 1 species
AAUGUUUUAUUGUGUUCCUCGUAUGACGAAACGCUUAUAAAGAUCAGAAUUCCUAUAUGGAAACAAUCUGUGGUACACCAAGUUACCUCGCUACCAAAAUGUUAAUCCCGUAGCCUGAAGAACGAUCCUACAAGAAAUCGUGUGUUAUAUGUUUGGUAUGCCAUAUACUUCAGUUUACUCAAAUUCACGUAGUGAACACGAUUUGUAAUGAAGCUGGAGCAGGCAAAUAACCCAUUGGAGAAACAAGUCAAAGAAGGGUCGUAUAAAUUUCCGAACAACCUCUGGAAGAAUGUUAGCAGUGAAGCUAAGGAUCUUAUAACAAAACUGCUUACUGUUGGUCACAGAAAAUGCAUCACGCUUUCAGAAGCUCUGGAACAUCCUUGGAUGAAGGAUAAAGAAAUGAUAGAAAAAGCAGAAAAAAUGAUAAAACCGACCGUGGAUGGAAGAUCAAUGUCUCCGCCCUUAUAAAAGGUAUGUUGAAAACUACGAUACUUGUCCCGUUCUUCCGUCCAAUGACCCUUAUUUUCAACUCGCAAUUGCAAUGAAACAUUACAUGUUUGCAAGUUACAUCGAAAUUUAACCAGCUUUCCGAAACAAUCUCAAGGCGC